rnacentral:rRNA from 1 species
AUUGAACGCUGGCGGCAUGCCUUACACAUGCAAGUCGAACGGUAACAGGUCUUCGGAUGCUGACGAGUGGCGAACGGGUGAGUAAUACAUCGGAACGUGCCCGAUCGUGGGGGAUAACGAGGCGAAAGCUUUGCUAAUACCGCAUACGAUCUACGGAUGAAAGCGGGGGAUCUUCGGACCGCGCGCGGACGGAGCGGCCGAUGGCAGAUUAGGUAGUUGGUGGGAUAAAAGCUUACCAAGCCGACGAUCUGUAGCUGGUCUGAGAGGAUGAUCAGCCACACUGGGACUGAGACACGGCCCAGACUCCUACGGGAGGCAGCAGUGGGGAAUUUUGGACAAUGGGCGAAAGCCUGAUCCAGCCAUGCCGCGUGCAGGAUGAAGGCCUUUGGGUUGUAAACUGCUUUUGUACGGAACGAAAAGCCUCUUUCUAAUAAAGAGGGGUCUUGACGGUACCGUAAGAAUAAGCACCGGCUAACUACGUG